GAUGAACGCUGGCGGCGUGCUUAACACAUGCAAGUCGAACGAUGAAGCUCAGCUUGCUGGGUGGAUUAGUGGCGAACGGGUGAGUAACACGUGAGUAGCCUGCCCUUAACUCUGGGAUAAGCCUGGGAAACUAGGUCUAAUACCGGAUAGGAGCGCCUACCGCAUGGUGGGUGUUGGAAAGAUUUAUCGGUUUUGGAUGGACUCGCGGCCUAUCAGCUUGUUGGUGAGGUAAUGGCUCACCAAGGCGACGACGGGUAGCCGGCCUGAGAGGGUGACCGGCCACACUGGGACUGAGACACGGCCCAGACUCCUACGGGGGGCAGCAGUGGGGAAUAUUGCACAAUGGGCGAAAGCCUGAUGCAGCGACGCCGCGUGAGGGAUGACGGCCUUCGGGUUGUAAACCUCUUUCAGUAGGGAAGAAGCGAAAGUGACGGUACCUGCAGAAGAAUCACCGGCUAACUACGCGCCAGCAUUCGCGGUAAUACGUAGGGUGCGAGCGUCAUCCGGAAUUAUUGGGCGUUACGAGCUCGUAUGCGGUUUGUCGCGUCUGUCGUGAAAGUCCGGGGCUUAACCCCGGAUCUGCGGUGGGUACGGGCAGACUAGAGUGCAGUAGGGGAGACUGGAAUUCCUGGUGUAGCGGUGGAAUGCGCAGAUAUCAGGAGGAACACCGAUGGCGAAGGCAGGUCUCUGGGCUGUAACUGACGCUGAGGAGCGAAAGCAUGGGGAGCGAACAGGAUUAGAUACCCUGGUAGUCCAUGCCGUAAACGUUGGGCACUAGGUGUGGGGACCAUUCCACGGUUUCCGCGCCGCAGCUAACGCAUUAAGUGCCCCGCCUGGGGAGUACGGCCGCAAGGCUAAAACUCAAAGGAAUUGACGGGGGCCCGCACAAGCGGCGGAGCAUGCGGAUUAAUUCGAUGCAACGCGAAGAACCUUACCAAGGCUUGACAUGUUCUCGAUCGCCGUAGAGAUACGGUUUCCCCUUUGGGGCGGGUUCACAGGUGGUGCAUGGUUGUCGUCAGCUCGUGUCGUGAGAUGUUGGGUUAAGUCCCGCAACGAGCGCAACCCUCGUUUCCAUGUUGCCAGCACGUAAUGGUGGGGACUCAUGGGAGACUGCCGGGGUCAACUCGGAAGAAGGUGAGGACGACGUCAAAUCAUCCUGCCCCUUAUGUCUUGGGCUUCACGCAUGCUACAAUGGCCGGUACAAUGGGCUGCCGAACCUGUGAGGGGGGAUCUAAUCCCCAAAACGCCGGUCUCCAAUUCGGAAUGGGGGCUUCAACUCUCACCCCAUGAAGUUCGAGUCCCCUGAUAAUCCCAGAAUCCGCACCCCUGCGGUGAAUACGUUCCCCGGGGCCU
rnacentral:rRNA from 1 species